UAGCUGCUAAUGUUGGCACUAACUUCGCUGACAUGUGACAGUCGCUCAUGCGGACUAAAACCAUGGAGUUUGUUUGAUCAUCUUCCUACAUGAGCUGUUCAUAUGAGGAAACAUACAGUGUGCAAUAUCUAUACUGCUGGAUCUGUUACUUGGUGAUGAUGCUUUGCGGCAGGUGGUGGCAGCAUGAUUCUUGUAUUUGUGAUCAUGCAUUGUCCAAUAUGAAUGAAGCAACUAAAAGGGGGAAGUUUUCAAAGCUCCUUUGGUACUGUAUAUGUCUCUGAUUUUGAUGUGGGGCCUGUAGGCUGUGGAUGGUUGAGGCAAUCUCUCAGUUCCUUAAUCAUCCAGAUGAGGGUGUUUUGCUGUUAUGUGGCAUUGUUGUCCAAAAACGGGACCAACAUUAACACUGAACUGCUGUGAAAGCCCGAAAUAACCCUUUAUGUUAAAAAUAAUUUUCUUUUUAACUAUGCAUGUUCAAAGCUGUUCAUUCCUUCAAGCACGAGAUGAAGGGGUGGCUGACAGGUUGCCCAGUAUGGUGUCAUAACCAAUGUUUUUUGAAAGUCUGACCUGGUUUCAUUUGAAUUAAUUUUUUAUUGCCUAAGAUUACAAUUUAUAUGUGGCAAAUUAGAUGUAUUGUAGUUUAGUGUUUGGAUUCCAUUAGUAUGCUGUGUAUGUCUGUUGAUCCAUCCUGUUUAUAAUUCAAGAAUUUAUAUUAUAGGUAUUAAUUGUCUGAUUUUUGUAAAACUUUGUAUUAACAGGAUGUUAUUGUAUGAAACCUAUCUUGGUUCUUUUCCAUCUCCCUGUCAUCAUCAGUACCUGCAUGGUAGCCUUUAAACUUCUGAGUGCAUAUAACAGUAGCAUCUUUCAGAGAAGGUUCUUGCCUAAAAUUAUAUUGAUUAGCUUUGGAUAUAUUGUAGAAUGCUUGAAUCUAAUAGCUUCUGACUUCAUUGCUGUAUUGCAAAGGUUAAAGAAAACUGGUGUUCUUUGAUGGUUUGCUCAAUGCUGAAAGAACAUGACGAUGUGAAAUAGGUUGUGUGUUAAGCCCACAGUUCUUCAGUAUUUAUCUGCAGUACCAUAAUUGUGCUUCACACUAAAUAAAAUUGUGAUGAACUGAAACUCUUUGAAUCUGCCUUUAUGCCUUAAUGUGCAUAGUCUUUCAACAUUUUCUUCAUGGGCUUGUAUGUUGUGAAACAUUAUCAAAACACAAUUCCUCAUACUUCAGAUGGCUGAAAUAACUUCUGCAUUUACAGUAUUUUCAUUUGCUAUCUUCACACAGUAAUAAAUGGGGGUUGCUCUGACAUGAAAACAACAUUGAAGGAGAGCUGUCAUUAAAAGUAUGCAUGCCAACAGCACAAAUAAAAAUCUCUGUAUGGAAUUUUAUAGCUAAAUGAUUUAGUUUUGUCUCCAAUAACAACUUUUUCCUAAUCUGAAAACAGAAUUUAUUUAGGACUAAUCUUGUUAUAUUCUUCUUUCUCACCAAGUAUGCAGGUCCUUUGUUAUAUUUAUAAGAAUAUCACUUUAUAUUUAUUUUAGUACAUUUAUGAUUGUAACAUUUUCAGUGCCUUAUGGAACUUUGUUAAUUUUAUUCAAGUGGUUUGUGAAAGGUAUUAGUUUACAUUCUUAACCCCAGCAAGCUUGAAUUUGUAGUGUGCAAUUUUGAAGGUGUUUGGCAGCAGAAAGCACUCAAGUGCCUAUAGUAAUUUUUGUGUAAAUCUGAUCUGCCAUAUCAGUAAGUGCUGAAUUAGUUUAUGUGGUGCUGUUAUUUUAUACUCAGUCCACUAUUGUUUUAAUGUUAGUGUCUGGGUUGUGGGACGGCAUUUUAUGUAUGGAACUGAAUGGGAAUAGCAUUGUGAAUUGAAGCAGCAAUUCUGUCUUAUGCAUAAAUGAGCUUGAGAGUGAUGACUUCCUGUAAAGAAAUGUACAAUAUCAUAUGCAAAAUAUAUUUUUUACUCGAGUCA